UAAUAAUAAUAUAGUCGUUAUCUAAUUGUUAUACCAAUGAAACAUAAUUUUUUUAAAAACCCAACUAGAGGAAUGUACAUCGAGAUGAUUUAUCCCCCCCCUUUUUUAAAAUUCAGUUCAGUCUGGGUAAGCAGAAUAAUGUAUGCCUUACUGCCUCAAAACUUUAAGAGUUGGUCUCAACUUCUAGAUAUCCCCUUCACCCCUCAAUCAAAAAGAAAUAAAUAAAAUAAAUUGUGAAAUGUGUUCUAACAGAUGAGAACAUCUGUGUAGGGCUAAGUAGAAUAUUAACACUAAGGGUUAAUUCUUUACUUCCUCACCAGUGAGAGGAAAUGUCUCUGCUCUGCAUGUCACUCCUGCUUUUAUUACAUAACAUAAAAGAACACAGUGAGCUGGACACAGAGGAUAGUGGGGAACACAGUUAAACUUAU